rnacentral:tRNA from 1 species
GCCUGGGUGGCUCAGUCGGUUAAGCGUCUGACUUCCACUUGGGUCAUGGUUCGUGGGUUCGAGCCCCGCAUCGGGCU